GUAGGAAGCAAUUAUAAAAGCCUUUAGUUUCGACCUAAAAAUAUGGUGAAUAUUCACCCUUACU
rnacentral:tRNA from 1 species